UCUUUUCAAAAUCAACUGUGGGCUGCCUGUGCCCUGGUUAUUGAUACUUCAGUAGAGGCUGUCAAAAGCCUUUCCCUGUGUUUGGAAGGUAUGUUCCUGUCCUUGUCAAACCCUGGUGCUUUGGAACA
ensembl:snoRNA SNORA71 Small nucleolar RNA SNORA71